GCGAUGCUUAGGGACUGGGCGGAUUUCGAUUCCGAGGGUCGGAGGUUCGAAUCCUUCCGAGCGCGCCA
rnacentral:tRNA from 1 species